GUUAAGGUAGCAAAAUGGUCAAUGCUAGAGAUUUAGGAUCUCUCUUCGGGGGCUCAAUCCCCCCCCCUAACU
rnacentral:tRNA from 1 species